GGGGGGGGGGGGGGGGGGGGGGGGGGGGGGGGGGGGGGGGGGGGGGGGGGGGGGGGGGGGGGGGGGGGGGGGACCUGGGGGCACCUGGGAUACACCUGGGGGCAGCUGGGCGCAGCUGGGAUACACCUGGGCACACCUGGAGUACAUCUGGGCACACCUGGGUGCAUUGGGAUGCACCUGGAAGGCACAGGGCCCUUUGGGGGCUCACCUGGGCAUGUUUGGGGCACGCCUGAGGGGCACAGGGAGCGCCUCAGUGCCCACCUGUGGGCAGGUGGGCACCUGUUGUGUCCCCUGGUGGGUGGCAGGGACAGGCUGGGUCCUCUCAGGGUGACAGGAGGUGGCAGGAGGUGGCACAGGUGAUAGGAGUGACACAGGUGACAGGGCGGCAGGAGUGGCACACGUGAUAGGAGUGACACAGGUGACAGGGUCUUGGGUGAGACAGGUGAUGGGGGUGGCACAGGUGACGAGGUGUUGGGUGGCACAGGUGACACAGGUGACAGGGUGUUGGGUGGCCCAGGUGACACAGGUGACAGGGUUUUGGGUGGCUCAGGUGACACAAGUGACAGGGUGUUGGGUGGCCCGGGUGACACAGGUGGCACAGGUGGCACAGGUGACUGGUGAUGGGGUAGCACAGGUGACAGGGGUGUCCCCAGUGCCAGGUGACAGUGUCCCCGUCCCCCCCAGUUACAAGCUGUGGUACCAGUACCUGCGGCAGCGCCGGGCUCAGGUCAAAGGUCGCUGUCCCUCGGACCCCGCCUUCGAGGAGGCCAACGCCGUGCACGAGAGAGCGCUGGUGUUCAUGCACAAGGUCGGGGGGGGGGGGGGGGGGGGGGGGGGGGGGGGGGGGGGGGGGGGGGGGGGGGGGGGGG
rnacentral:lncRNA from 12 species